rnacentral:rRNA from 1 species
CCUACGGGCGGCAGCAGUAGGGAAUCUUGCACAAUGGGCGAAAGCCUGAUGGAGCAACGCCGCGUGCAGGAUGAAGGCCUUCGGGUUGUAAACUGCUUUUAUAAGCGAGAAAGAUGAUGGUAACUUAUGAAUAAGGAUCGGCUAACUACGUGCCAGCAGCCGCGGUCAUACGUAGGACCCGAGCAUUAUCCGGAGUGACUGGGUGUAAAGAGUUGCGUAGGUGGGCAAGUAAGUAGCUAGUGGAAUCUGGUGGCUCAACCAUUAAGACUGUUAGCUAAACUGCUAAGCUCGAGACCGUUAGGGGUAACUGGAAUUUCUAGUGUAGGGGUGAAAUCCGUAGAUAUUAGAAGGAACACCGAUAGCGUAGGCAGGUUACUGGGACGGUUCUGACACUAAGGCACGAAAGCGUAGGGAGCAAACGGGAUUAGAUACCCCUGUAGUC